rfam:Cricetulus griseus cell line CHO-K1, whole genome shotgun sequence.
UAAUUGGCUCUAAUAAGAGCCAUCAUUGGUUAUAUACAUUUAAUGU